rnacentral:rRNA from 1 species
GACGAACGCUGGCGGCGUGCCUAAUACAUGCAAGUAGAACGCAGUUGCGAACGGGUGAGUAACGCGUAGGUAACUGCCUCAUAGCGGGGGCUAACUAUUGGAAACGUUAGCUAAUACCGCAUACUGUGAGAUGGACCUGCGUUGUGUUAGCUAUUUGGUGCGGUAAAGGCUCACCAAGGCGACGAUACAUAGCCUACCUGAGAGGGGUGUCGGCCACACUGAGACUAGGACACGGCCCAGACACCUACGGUAGGCAGCAGUAGGGAAUCUUCGGAAAUGGACGGCAGUCUGACCGAGCAACGCUGCGUGAGUGAAGAAGGUUUUCGGAUCGUAAAGCUCUGGUGUUAGAGAAGCGGUAACUACCCAGAAAGGGACGGCUAACUACGUGCCAGCAGCCGCGGUAAUAC